GGUAAGGUGGCUGAAUAAGUAUUAGACUGUAAAUCUAAGGAUAGAGGUAAAACUCCUCUUCUUACCA
rnacentral:tRNA from 1 species